rnacentral:rRNA from 1 species
AACGAACGCUGGCGGCAUGCCUAAUACAUGCAAGUCGAACGAUCACUUCGGUGGUAGUGGCGCACGGGUGCGUAACGCGUGGGAAUCUGCCCUUGGGUUCGGAAUAACGUCGGGAAACUGACGCUAAUACCGGAUGAUGACGUAAGUCCAAAGAUUUAUCGCCCAGGGAUGAGCCCGCGUAGGAUUAGCUAGUUGGUGGGGUAAAGGCCUACCAAGGCGACGAUCCUUAGCUGGUCUGAGAGGAUGAUCAGCCACACUGGGACUGAGACACGGCCCAGACUCCUACGGGAGGCAGCAGUAGGGAAUAUUGGACAAUGGGGGCAACCCUGAUCCAGCAAUGCCGCGUGAGUGAUGAAGGCCUUAGGGUUGUAAAGCUCUUUUACCCGGGAUGAUAAUGACAGUACCGGGAGAAUAAGCCCCGGCUAACUCCGUGCCAGCCGCCGUAAUAC